rnacentral:sRNA from 1 species
CUGCUUUCCUAAGUAGAUAUAUUGUUCC